UGAUGUAUCACUGGACAGUCAUUUCAUGUC
rnacentral:piRNA from 1 species